rnacentral:rRNA from 1 species
AGUGAACGCUGGCGGUAGGCCUAACACAUGCAAGUCGAACGGCAGCACAGUAAGAGCUUGCUCUUACGGGUGGCGAGUGGCGGACGGGUGAGGAAUACAUCGGAAUCUACUUUUUCGUGGGGGAUAACGUAGGGAAACUUACGCUAAUACCGCAUACGACCUACGGGUGAAAGCAGGGGAUCUUCGGACCUUGCGCGAUUGAAUGAGCCGAUGUCGGAUUAGCUAGUUGGCGGGGUAAAGGCCCACCAAGGCGACGAUCCGUAGCUGGUCUGAGAGGAUGAUCAGCCGGACUGGAACUGAGACACGGUUCAGACGCCUACGGGAGGCAGCAGUGGGGAAUAUUGGACAAUGGGCGCAAGCCUGAUCCAGCCAUACCGCGUGGGUGAAGAAGGCCUUCGGGUUGUAAAGCCCUUUUGUUGGGAAAGAAAAGCAGCAGGUUAAUACCCCGCUGUUCUGACGGUACCCAAAGAAUAAGCACCGGCUAACUUCGUG